UUUUAGGCCGCAGCAGCUGGUGGAUGGCGAAGGCCGCAACAGCUCGACUCCUCCUCUUUUCUCUCCCGCCAAGAAGAAGCACCAGACAGCUGGGGAGGUUCUAGACCUUCAUGCAGGUAAAUUGGUGUCAAUUAGCAGCAAUGGACUAGGACAUCAGCUGUGUGCGCUCGAGUACCAGGAAGCAAGCCAAUAGUGUCUGCUCCAAGGUUGCCAGUUGUGAUUCUGGUCACUUUUCAAGCAGAGAAGCAUGAUGAAAAUAGAUUUUGUUAUGAUGGUCUUACUACGCCGAGAUGCUUGCUCAGAGCUCAUGGAUCACGCACGAAGAAAUGAGGAGGAUUCUGUUGCCCAAAUGUGGUCCGAGUGGGGUGUUAUGAUGGGAUGAUGCUCUUACAGUAUUUUGGGCCAUUGACAUACAACCAGGUUACUACCGUUCCUUGACAAGAUGAACAUAUGAAAGUCUGUUAUAUUUUAUUCCGUUACUAUUAUGAUGAUUCGUUUGUAGUUGUACUACUUCUCAGUUUGCCUUUAACAUGAAAACACUGACUGGUUGCAGUUAACAGAGCUCUCCUAAAAAUUCUACCAGCAUUUCUUUUGUCAUUUCAA